CUCUAGCGUAAAAACUCCCUCCCUCUGCUUGAGCUCUGGGCCGUAUGUUGGGCCGAGCUGCAGCAAAUUGAUCGGCCCAAUUCUCAUCAUUGAGCAACCGCCCAAUGGGUCCGUCAUAUUAGUUAUGGGCCCUGAAACAAGAGAUCUAAUGGCAGUCCGGCCCAAUAGGCUAGGGUUUGGCUAUAAACGCUGUCCCGCUCCCUCCUUUUCAGUUCUAGAUCAAUCUGGACCUCAGCUAGGGUUUUGACGGCACAGAAGAAAGGAAGGAAGCAGAGAGACAUACGCACCGCGAACCUGUCACCAUGAGAGCUAAGUGGAAGAAGAAGAGGAUGAGGAGGUUGAAGAGGAAGCGCAGAAAGAUGAGGCAGAGAUCCAAGUAGUCAGCUUUCUCCUCCUCGCUGCAACGGUGAUGAUCGGGGCGACAUCGUUACUGGUUUCGUGUUGAUUUUUUUUUUCCUCUUUUAAUGGCCUUUUGCUGUUACUGGUAGAGACAUCGGUGGAUUUAUCUUUUGAUGUUAUAGUCGGUACACUUUCUGUUGAAUUAUGAGCCUUCUUAUGAUUUUCUCAAUGAAUUGCAUUCGAAUAUUUGAUCGCAA